AAACUUGUUUUGAUUCUUUGGCAGUUUUGGAUCCCCAAGGCAAAAAAAUAAUAAAAGAUUUGACACGUGACAUCUCACUUAGGGUGUCACGUCAGCGUUGACCGAGUCAACAAUGGACUGGGGGUCCAAAACUGCCAAAGAAUCAAAACAUAGGGGGCUGUUU
rnacentral:pre_miRNA from 1 species